CUCGCGCAAACUAUUGCUAUUGUUAUUGGUUGUUUCGCCGUUUUACUUUGAGCAUGAUUGGUUAAUCUGUCUGUUUUACAGGAAACUGUCCAAUGAGAAUGUGCGCGGCUCUGCGCGCCUAUUUUAAAUUUGAAAAUAUGUCCGUUACUCUCGGUCGGAGCAGCUGCUUUGCGUUGAUUACUCGGUCAGACCUGGAUUAUUUUAUAUCUGCCUGUUGAAUUCUUACAUUUUGAGCGAAUUUUAGUUGAUAUGACAAUGAAGAUCAAAAGCUGGAAUGUGAACAGAGGAAGGGGUCGUACGUGGUCUGUAAAUACUGGCGAUAUCAGAUCAAGCUUUGUAAUAAGAUUUUUAUCGGGGGAGAACACCCAACAGAAAGACCCAUGAUUCACCAACUGGCGCACUGAAAGGGGAGAUUCAUGUCACCUUCAUCAGUCCUUUCUUUAAUCACUGGACACCAUUAAGGGAAAGACCCUCAGACGUGUCAUAAUAGGAUAAAUGCGGCUGCAGGUAAAAUUAUUUGAUGGGGUUAGGGUUAUUUGAUUUUGGUGUACCAAUUGGCUUUUUUUUUGUGUGCUUCCCUUGCUAUGAUACACAUUUCUGAUGGGAUUGCCAUGCUUUAAGUGUAUGUUUACAUUUUUAAUCAUGUAAUAACUAACAGUCUCAAAGAUGACAUUACUCAGUUCAUGUUGUGUGAAUGUAAUAAUGGCAAACGUUUUUACAAUUUAAAUCAAUUUCAUAUAAAUAAUAUAUAUAUUUAUAUGUUUCCUCACAAUGUCAAAAGUGCUUGUUAAGUGCGGCAGCUUUUUUUUAAAAUACAUUUUACAAUUUUAAUAUGUAAGUUAACAUUAUGUCGAGUCAGCAGGGCUAACGUUAAAACUCGCCGUUUGUAACGUUAUGUUAUGUAUUAACCUUAUAAAAGUCUGUCUAGCUUUAGCAAAUGUAACAUCAUGCCGGUCCUAAUAAAGUUAAAACGUUAUUAACGUUAGCCCUGAAUGUGAAACAUGCAUCAGCCAUCAUAACAUUAACGUUAAAUACCUGUGGUUGACUAACAUUAAUUUAAUAACGUUAGCUGUUAACUUAACGUUACAUCUUACAAGUUACUGUUGCCUCUUGCAAACAAGUAACAGUUAAGUUAACGUUAAAUAAAAGGCUAUUGCAGGUUGGAACCUUGUUUUAUACAGUCUAUGGUUUAACUUAGUUAACGUAAUGUUAAGUUAGGACCUGACAAAGACUUGUCUCAGUGGCAGUUUGUUUUUAACUUAACGUUAGCAGUGGCACAUUCAGUCAGUUAACAUUAACGUUAGUUUGAUACGAAUACUAUUAAUCUAGGAAACUUUAUAACGCUACGUUGCUCCUACCAUUAAAGUAACGUUAAAUUACUGGUAACGUAAAUACUUUACCUGUAACCUGCGCGUAACGUAACGUUACCUCCUAGUUAUACACAUGCCUGGAUUUUAACUUUCUCAGCUGACUAAGUUUGUUCUCCUUUAUAGUGAACCAGACUCAUCGUGAGUGAAAAUAACGAUUUAACAUGAACUUUCAUGUCCUCCUUAUCCAUAGUUUUUGACAGAUUGGACUAGUUAACUUACUUCAACAACUUCUGGGUGAGUGUUUGACAAGACAAGGCCUGGUGAGAGUCACUACAGAGGAUCAUAGCCAUUGUUGGAAUUCUGAAAGGAUGUGGGUGAAUAUCAAUCUGCCAAAUGAACAUUCACAUCUGUAUAUUAAUACUGAUUAUAUAUGAACUUGUUUGUUUGUAACUGGAAAGAACUUAGCUUCUAUUGUUUUUGACUGAAGGACUUGACCGUGUUUUAAGCCUAUGUGCAUUUUCUAUUACCAGUACCUGCUCUGGCCGUGCUCCAUUUUCCAUUGCAGAUCAUACCCAGAGAUAGUACCCCUCAAUGCUGCUGGUCAGCAUAGCAAGGCCACACACAACUGCCGCGAUGUACUGUUCAAUGCGACACACACACCUGCGACCCACAUACAGCUGUCUCUUGAUUUAAGUUAAAACGUUUCAGCAUUACUCAGAAUGUAAAGACAGAUACUUAAAGGUGCUCUUAGCGAUGCCGGGAGUCGUAACUUCUUGUUGACGUUCGAAUUGUUGUCAAACAAAACAGAGGCUAGCUAGACCC